AUUCCAGUCUCCUUCCCGCCCAGAGGAGCCACUACAGAUCAAACUGUCGCUUUCCAGGAUGGAAACGGACAGACUCUUGGCCGACACUGUGAACACUAACCCCUCGGAUUAUGGCUCAUCGACAGGCGUGGAGCCCGCAGGGGCCUCGGGCAACAGACGGAUGUCGUACUCUGUCGCCGGGGAGUCGUGCAGUGUCGGGGGGGAGACAGCAGUGUUAUAGCCGUUGUCCCAUCUGUGACCACCACCACCACCAACACGCUGUGACACAUCCUGCUGUGAUGCAUCAACUUGGCAGCAUUGAAGAAAGUAUGUUUAGUCAAAACUGAGUCAUCGUGUGUGUGUGUGUGUGUGUGUGUAACUGCUGAAUGGAAAAGUUGCUCAUCAUGAUCAUCUGACAGCUGUGGAACAAACUGACCCUCUGAUAGAUUUGACUUCUGAUCUUUUCAGUGCACUGCAGCUCUCCUUUGAAUUCAGCUUUAGCAUUAAGCCAUUUCACCUUUGCCUGGAUUGUAAAAUGUAAAAUUUGAAUUCUGCUUUUUGCAUCAACUACUGUUUAAGGCCCAGGUCAGAUCUCAUUCAUCAUUCAUUCAUUCUAAUAGAAGAUACUGAUCCAGCACAUGUUAAAAAACUUUCCUUUGGAGAAAACAUAACCUGAUGGGUAUUUUGUUUGUUUGUUUGUUUAAGGGUCAAAAGGCUCCGAAUUAAAUGAAAUUAUUUUAGAAAAGCAGAGUACACACAGUAAUAAUCAGAACCUUGUGAAGUGCUGGUUUAAUCUCUUCCAUAAUGUUCUAAAGUAUGUUGAGCCUGAGUGAAACAUCAAUAACAUGAAUAUGCACUGUAUAGUAGAGACGAGUGAAGUAUGUCAAGAACCUUAAGCAGGUCCAGAUUAUUGAACUGUUGUGCUGACAUUAGUGUUUUCUACAGCUGACCAUUCUCUUGAUCCAUCAUCAGACCAAAUUUUCACUUUACAUUUGAGCUGACAGGGUUGUAAUAAUAGCAAAGUCAACAAAGUGCUUUAUAUGUUCAAGUGAUAAAGAUUUCAGUCUUUAGUUUCCACUAACAUGGCUUUGGUUG
rnacentral:lncRNA from 1 species